ACGAACGCUGGCGGCGUGCUUAACACAUGCCAGUCGUACGGUAAGGCCCUUUCGGGGGUACACGAGUGGCGAACGGGUGAGUAACACGUGAGUAACCUGCCCACAACUUUGGGAUAACGCUAGGAAACUGGUGCUAAUACUGGAUAUGUGCUCCUGCUGCAUGGUGGGGGUUGGAAAGCUCCGGCGGUAGUGGAUGGACUCGCGGCCUAUCAGCUUGUUGGUGGGGUAGUGGCCUACCAAGGCGGCGACGGGUAGCCGGCCUGAGAGGGUGACCGGCCACAUUGGGACUGAGAUACGGCCCAGACUCCUACGGGAGGCAGCAGUGGGGAAUAUUGCACAAUGGGCGCAAGCCUGAUGCAGCAACGCCGCGUGCGGGAUGACGGCCUUCGGGUUGUAAACCGCUUUCAGCAGGGACGAAGCUUUUUGUGACGGUACCUGCAGAAGAAGCACCGGCUAACUACGUG
rnacentral:rRNA from 1 species